rnacentral:rRNA from 1 species
GACGGAGGAUGCAAGUGUUAUCCGGAAUCACUGGGCGUAAAGCGUCUGUAGGUGGUUUAAUAAGUCAACUGUUAAAUCUUGAGGCUCAACCUCAAAAUCGCAGUCGAAACUAUUAGGCUAGAGUAUAGUAGGGGUAAAGGGAAUUUCCAGUGGAGCGGUGAAAUGCGUAGAGAUUGGAAAGAACACCGAUGGCGAAAGCACUCUGCUGGGCCGACACUGACACUGAGAGACGAAAGCUAGGGGGAGCGAAUGGG